rnacentral:rRNA from 1 species
UGGGGAAUUUUGGACAAUGGGCGAAAGCCUGAUCCAGCAAUGCCGCGUGUGUGAAGAAGGCCUUCGGGUUGUAAAGCACUUUUGUCCGGAAAGAAAUCCUUGGCUCUAAUACAGUCGGGGGAUGACGGUACCGGAAGAAUAAGCACCGGCUAACUACGUGCCAGCAGCCGCGGUAAUACGUAGGGUGCAAGCGUUAAUCGGAAUUACUGGGCGUAAAGCGUGCGCAGGCGGUUUGCUAAGACCGAUGUGAAAUCCCCGGGCUCAACCUGGGAACUGCAUUGGUGACUGGCAGGCUAGAGUAUGGCAGAGGGGGGUAGAAUUCCACGUGUAGCAGUGGAAUGCGUAGAGAUGUGGAGGAAUACCGAUGGCGAAGGCAGCCCCCUGGGCCAAUACUGACGCUCAUGCACGAAAGCGUGGGGAGCAAACAGGAUUAGAUACCCUGGUAGUCCACGCCCUAAACGAUGUCACUAGUUGUGGGGAUUCAUUUCCUAGUACGUAGCUAACGCGUGAAGUUGACCGCCUGGGGAGUACGGUCGCAAGAUUAAACUC